GGUCACGUGACGGAGACGUUCGUGACGUCACACGCGGCGUCCUUAUAUACUGGGAACUAGGCGCUACCGUCUUAGAACUGGGAAUCUGUCCUUUUGUUUCUAAGAUCGGCUUUGGCACAGCUAAGAAAACUCUUUAUUAGUAAUGGAGUACAUGAAAGAGCCUGCAACAAGCAGCCAGGGCAACAUACUUUGCUGCCAGUGUGGCAUUCCAAUCCCCCCCCAAUCCAGCCAACAUGUGUGUAGCCUGCUUGCGGACACAGGUUGACAUUAGCGAGGGCAUCCCAAAGCAAGUGUCAGUGCAUUUCUGCAAACAAUGUGAACAGUACGACUUAUCGAUGCAGGCUUUGUCUGGACUGAGCAUCAUUCAAAGAGGCUAAAAGUAAAGCUAACCAUACAAAAGAAGGUGAUGAAUGGAGCAAUUCUUCAGCAGGUUUUUGUGGUAGACUAUGUUGUUCAAUCCCAGAUGUGUGAUGAUGUGCCAUAGAGUAGAAGCUAAAGAUUUCUGGAAAGCUGUGUUCCAGAUCCGUCAAAAGGUUCUUCACAAAAAGACCUUCUACUAUUUGGAACAGAUUAUUCUGAAACACAGACUUCAUCAGAACACACUGCGUGUCAAAGAGAUUCAUGGUAACGGCAUCAUCUCUUCCAUCCCAUUCACAAAGCAGCAGUUUAAAGUUUUAUUGUUUUAUUCAGUAUUUUUUAUUUUUGGCCUGGAACCUCUGUCUAGAAAUGUAAUUCUCUCCUGGUUACCAAGCAGCCAAAACAUUACCUGGAGUAGUAGCAGCACAAGCCUUUGUUUAAUGUUUUGUCAGGGUCAGAUCUAAAAGCCGUGAAUCACUAUCAAGAAUAUAAUUGAAUUUUUGUUCCUGAAAGCCUUGGGUAAAAUUGAUUAAAGUGGUAAUAAUGUUAUGAAAAAUGAUGGCAUCUUCUUGCUUUAAGGAGUUUAGUUUGUAUUAACUAUGUGUUUGCUAUGAGCUUCUUCCUUAUCUAGAAGUAUCAGACUUCUAUUGGGUUUUGGCAGUGCUUUCUCUAUAGUAAGCUUAUCUUUUUUCCCUUUGCAAAGAGAGGGUUUAAGCUAGUGUCUCAUAGUUACUUUCCAGCAGCCAUUAAUCAAUGUUAAAGGGAUUGUUCACCUUUAAAUGAACUUUUAGCAUGAUGUACAGUUAUAAUAAUUUGCAGUUGUUUUUUUAUUGUUUGUGGUUUUAAAGGUGUUUCGUUUUUUAUUAAGCAGCUCUGCAGUUUCAGCAAAUUACCCUAGCAACCAUUGAAUGAUUUGAAUGAGAAACUGGAAGAUGAAUAGGAGAUGGCCUGAAUAGAAGAUUGAAUAAUAAAAAGUAGCCAUAACAAUAACUUUUUAGCCUUAAGGAGCAUUUGUCUUUGUCUUUUUUGAAAAAGGCAAAUAAUUAAAAAAACUCUAAAAAUAAAUAAAU